rnacentral:rRNA from 1 species
CCAGACUCCUACGGGAGGCAGCAGUGGGGAAUAUUGCACAAUGGGGGAAACCCUGAUGCAGCGACGCCGCGUGAGCGAUGAAGUAUUUCGGUAUGUAAAGCUCUAUCAGCAGGGAAGAAAAUGACGGUACCUGACUAAGAAGCCCCGGCUGACUACGUGCCAGCAGCCGCGGUAAUACGUAGGGGGCAAGCGUUAUCCGGAUUUACUGGGUGUAAAGGGAGCGUAGACGGCCAUUCAAGCCAGAUGUGAAAGCCCGGGGCUCAACUCCGGGACUGCAUUUGGAACUGUGGGGCUAGAGUGUCGGAGAGGCAGGCGGAAUUCCUAGUGUAGCGGUGAAAUGCGUAGAUAUUAGGAGGAACACCAGUGGCGAAGGCGGCCUGCUGGACGAUGACUGACGUUGAGGCUCGAAAGCGUGGGGAGCAAACAGGAUUAGAUACCCUUGUA